UCCCUGGAGGACUAGUGGUUAGGCCACGGUGCUAUCAUUUCUGCAGCCUGGUUCGAUUCCUGGCCAGGGAA